CAAUCCUCUUGUCCACCAGGUAAUGAGGUAGGAAUGCUGGAUUUCAUGAUGUGGCCUUGGUUUGAACGACUGCCUGUAGUGUAUCCUCUUUCUGCUGACGUACAUCCAAACCUGACUAACUGGUUCAACCUGAUGCAUAAGGAGCCUGCAGUGAAAGAAACAGCAUUUUCAAAGGAGAUCCACUUGAAAUUUUACGAAGGAUAUCUCAAUGCCAAACCUGUCUAUGACUAAUUCGAACCUAUUGUAUAUAUGUCAAAACGUUUCCAAAUAUGUUGCUACCCGAACCCUGCUGUCUCACAAAUACAUUGUUUUUAGAUAUAGAACACUGAUAUGUAAACCAAUUAAGUGAUAUAUCUAAGAUGAUUUAUCUAAUUAUAGUUACAACCACGAAAUAUAUCAUUAUCUAAUUAGGAUUAACCAAUCAAAACGAUAGCUAGAAAUAGCAAAUAACAGGAACUAUUAAUUAUUCGCCGAAGGCGAGGUGAUUAUCGGGGAAUAUUCACCGAGACGAAGUCGAG